AAACCCUAGGCUAUUGGAAAGUUGAAGAAGAAAGAUCGUGGGCAGCCCGAAGCCUAGUUUGGACUUAGCUUGAGUUGGAUCAUAUUGGAGAGCGUUUGAGGUACAGACGCACAGCCUGAUGAUCCACCGGUUUAGGACACCCCCUUCUGCUAUUCGGAGUGCUCCUCUCAUUCCGGAGCUUAUAUUUUUGGUAUAUAUAUUGUUAGUGCAUUUAUAUAUAUUCGUUCAUGGGUACGGCGGGGCCCUGUCCCGUCAUAUGAUUCUGUCGGUCUGUUUAGAGGUCUGUGGACAUGUUUGUGGGUUGGGGUCUUUUCUGUACGGAUGCGUGUAUAUUUUGUGUUUGGGCGAUCCCAUUCGCCGCGGCGGCCGGUCCGCAUAUGUUUACAUGUUGCUUUGUUGGCCGGUGUGGCCUUUGUUGGUAUUUUCUGUGCGCAGGGUUAUUUUGGAUAGUCUGUAAAACAAACGAAACUCUGCCGAAAUUUUUCUGGAAAUUUUCUAAAUUUGAAAUAUAGCCUUGACGGCUUCUGCUAUA